UUCAAUAUUUUUUUAAAACUAUAAACAAUCCUUACCUAUACUUAUUUAUUUAAUCAUAAACAUCACCAUGGCACCCAAGCGAUCAAGAACAAACAAUGGUCAUGCAUCCACAAGUGCUCAAAGUAUCAUUGUGGAAAACCAGGUGAAAGAGGUUUUCAUAGAAAACUUUCAGAGAUAUAGGGUUAUAGCUAAUACAAGAAAGGAUUGGAUGAGAGCUCAAUUUGAGCAAGAAGAGCAAGAUAUUUUCUAUCCAUUUUUAUGUAUCAUAACCACAUUUAAGUCGUACAUGAUUCAGACAUCUCACACAGGAAUUUCUCAUUACAUUUAGUUUUCCUUGUCGCUUGUUCCAAUCUUAUGUUUCUCUAGUUUUCAUUUUCCUUAUCUCUAGUUUCG
rnacentral:lncRNA from 1 species